rnacentral:lncRNA from 1 species
AUGACUACUUCUAUAUCUAACGAUAUGCAUUGUUAGUGUAUCUCUCUCAUGAUUUGAUAACUAUAGUACACGCAUUUAAUAAACCCCAAUUGCCUCUUUGAAUUGUAAUAAUCAAAAUAUAAAAUAUAUAUACACCUAUCACAUUUGGGUAAACAAAAGGAGGGAAAAAUCAAAAGUUCAAAACUUUAAAGAAACUUGUAACUCGUUAAAUCAAAUGUAAAUCUACUAGUUGAAAUACAUGCAAUAUCAUAUAUGGGGUUUUUUUGGCGGGAAAAUACCAAAAGCAAGGAACACCAAUUAUAUAAUCAAAAUGAAGGCCACUUCUUUCCCACUUCUUUCAUAUGUAUAAUAUAAUUAUGUUACAGACCCAUAUGUUACAUUUCCCAAUAUAAUUAUGUUACUUGGAAAUAUAUAAUAUAAUUAUGUUAAUUG